GGACUACCGGGGUAUCUAAUCCUGUUUGCUCCCCACGCUUUCGCGCCUCAGCGUCAGUCACGGACCAGGUCGCCGCCUUCGCCACCGGUGUUCUUCCCAAUAUCUACGAAUUUCACCUCUACACUGGGAAUUCCACGACCCUCUUCCGCACUCAAGACCACAUGUAUCAAGCGCAGCCCCCAGGUUAAGCCCAGGAAUUUCACGCCUGACUAUGCCGUCCGCCUACGCGCCCUUUACGCCCAGUCAUUCCGAGCAACGCUAGCCCCCUUCGUAUUACCGCGGCGGCUGGCAC
rnacentral:rRNA from 1 species